rnacentral:rRNA from 1 species
AGAGCGAACGCUGGCGGCAGGCCUAACACAUGCAAGUCGAGCGCCCGUAGCAAUACGGGAGCGGCAGACGGGAUAGUAACACGUGGGAACGCGCCCUUCGGUUCGGAAUAACUCAGGGAAACUUGAGCUAAUACCGGAUACGCCCUUACGGGGAAAGAUUUAUUGCCGAAGGAACGGCCCGCGUCCGAUUAGCUAGUUGGUGAGGUAAUGGCUCACCAAGGCGACGAUCGGUAGCUGGUCUGAGAGGAUGACCAGCAUCACUGGGACUGAGACACGGCCCAGACUCCUACGGGAGGCAGCGGUGGGGAAUAUUGGACAAUGGGCGCAAGCCUGAUCCAGCCAUGCCGCGUGGAUGAUGAAGGCCUUAGGGUUGUAAAGUCCUUUUAACGGGGAAGAUAAUGACGGUACCGUAGAAUAAGCCCCGGCUAACUUCGUGCCAGCAGCCGC